rnacentral:rRNA from 1 species
AAAUUGAAGAGUUUGAUCAUGGCUCAGAUUGAACGCUGGCGGCAGGCCUAACACAUGCAAGUCGAACGGUAACAGGAAGCAGCUUGCUGCUUCGCUGACGAGUGGCGGACGGGUGAGUAAUGUCUGGGAAACUGCCUGAUGGAGGGGGAUAACUACUGGAAACGGUGGCUAAUACCGCAUAACGUCGCAAGACCAAAGAGGGGGACCUUCGGGCCUCUUGCCAUCGGAUGUGCCCAGAUGGGAUUAGCUGGUUGGUGAGGUAACGGCUCACCAAGGCGACGAUCCCUAGCUGGUCUGAGAGGAUGACCAGCCACACUGGAACUGAGACACGGUCCAGACUCCUACGGGAGGCAGCAGUGGGGAAUAUUGCACAAUGGGCGCAAGCCUGAUGCAGCCAUGCCGCGUGUAUGAAGAAGGCCUUCGGGUUGUAAAGUACUUUCAGCGGGGAGGAAGGUGUUGUGGUUAAUAACCGCAGCAAUUGACGUUACCCGCAGAAGAAGCACCGGCU